rnacentral:rRNA from 1 species
GAUGAACGCUGGCGGCGUGCCUAAUACAUGCAAGUCGAGCGAACCACUUCGGUGGUGAGCGGCGAACGGGUGAGUAACACGUAGGUGAUCUGCCCAUCAGACGGGGACAACGAUUGGAAACGAUCGCUAAUACCGGAUAGGACGAAAGUUUAAAGGUGCUUCUGGCACCGCUGAUGGAUGAGCCUGCGGCGCAUUAGCUAGUUGGUAGGGUAAAGGCCUACAAAGGCGACGAUGCGUAGCCGACCUGAGAGGGUGAACGGCCACACUGGGACUGAGACACGCCCCAGACUCCUGCGGGAGGAAGCAGGAGGGAAUCUUCGGCAAUGGGCGAAAGACUGACCGAGCAACGACGCGUGAAUGAUGAAGGCCUUAGGGUUGUAAAAUUCUGUUAUAAGGGAAGAACGACUUUAGUAGGAAAUGGCUAGAGUGUGACGGUACCUUAUGAGAAAGCCACGGCUAACUACGUGCCAGCCGCCGCCGUAA